CCCUUAGAUGUUCUGGGCCGCACGCGCGCUACACUGAUGCAUUCAACGAGUCUAAAACCUGCUCUGAUAGGGGUGGGUAAUCUUUUGAAUGUGCAUCGUGAUUGGGAUAGAUGAUUGCAAUUUUUCAUCUUCAACGAGGAAUGCCUAGUAAACGCAAGUCAUCAGCUUGCAUUGAUUACGUCCCUGCCCUUUGUACACACCGCCCGUCGCUCCUACCGAUUGAAUGAUCCGAUGAAUAGCAUGGAUUGAGGAUGCAAGUAGGUUAGCCUAUCUUCAUCUUCGAGAAGUGAAGUAAAUCUUAUCAUUUAGAGGAAGGAGAAGUCGUAACA
rnacentral:rRNA from 1 species